GGCGACGGGUGAGUAUACAUCGGAACGUGCCCAGAGUGGGGGAUACGAGGCGAAAGCUUUGCUAAUACCGCAUACGAUCUCAGGAUGAAAGCAGGGGACCGCAAGGCCCUUGUGCUCCUGGAGCGGCCGAUGGCAAAUUAGGUAGUUGGUGGGAUAAAAGCUUACCAAGCCGACGAUCUGUACUGGUCUGAGAGGACGACCAGCCACACUGGGACUGAGACACGGCCAAANUCCUACGGGAGGCACAGUGGGGAAUUUUGGGACAAUGGGCGCAAGCCUGAUCCAGCAAUGCCGCGUUGCAGGAUGAAGGCCUUCGGGUUGUAAACUGCUUUUGUACGGAACGAAAAGGCUCUGGUUAAUACCUGGGGCUCAUGACGGUACCGUAAGAAUAAGCACCGGCUAACUACGUGCCAGCAGCCGCGGUAAUACGUAGGUGCGAGCGUUAAUCGGAAUUACUGGGCGUAAAAGCGUGCGCAGGCGGUUAUGUAAAACAGGAGGGUGAAAUCCCCGGGCUCAACCUGGGAACUGCCUUUGUGACUGCAUAGCUAGAGUACGGGCAGAGGGGGAUGGAAUUCCCGCGUUGGUAACAGUGAAAUUGCC
rnacentral:rRNA from 1 species